rnacentral:rRNA from 1 species
UACGGGGGGAGCAAGCGUUGUUCGGAUUUACUGGGCGUAAAGGGCGCGUAGGCGGCGUGACAAGUCACUUGUGAAAUCUCCGGGCUUAACCCGGAACGGUCAAGUGAUACUGUCGUGCUAGAGUACAGAAGGGGCAACUGGAAUUCUCGGUGUAGCGGUGAAAUGCGUAGAUAUCGAGAGGAACACCUGCGGCGAAGGCGGGUUGCUGGGCUGAUACUGAGCUGAGGCGCGAAAGCCAGGGGAGCGAACGGG